CAUAGGCUUGCCUAAAAGACCAACCCCUUUUUGUCGGAGUUGAAAGGCAAAACAAGGAAACUGCGAAUGGCUCAUAAAACCAGUUAUAUUUUAUUUGGUAACCCAAUUUCCAUGAAUAACCGCGGUAAUUCUAGAGCUAAUACUGGCAGGCGAGCCCGACUUUGCGGACGGGCUGGAUUUAUCAAAUAACACACCAAUAUUCUCCGCGUCAAUUGUGGAAAACCAGAUAAACUGAUCGGAUCGCAUGGGCCUGUCCCGCAACAAACCAUUAAGGUUUCUCCCCCAUCAGCUCCCUGGUAUUGUAUUGGACAACCAGGGUUUUUACGGGUAACGGAGGAUAUAGGGUUCUAUUCCGGAAAGGAAGCCGGACAAACGCCUACCACGUCUAAGGAGGGCGGCAGGCCCCUAAAUUACCCAAUACUAAUCCAGUGAGGUAGAGACAAAAAAAAACAAACCAUGGGUUCAACCCCGGGACUGCAUUGCGCCUAAUUUCCACCCCU
rnacentral:rRNA from 1 species